UAUGAUUAAUAUCAACACGCAAAAGCGACUCCUUUCGGUUGCUCACCGGUUUCAGCGCUGCCACGCGACCCUCACCCUCCCCAAAGUUAUGUGAGUUUAGUCAAUUGGUUUUCUAUGUAUGACAUAGACACCUAUACAAAAGAAGGAGCACGAAAUGAAAAGAGGCAAUUAAUAUCGGGAUUGAUUUACAAGCAUGGCGGUGCACACAUUAUGCAUUAUUAUACAUAUUUGCAUUUAUAAACAUGCAAGGACAGGUUGGCGAUUCACUUUCAGAACUAUCUGUUGGGGCGAACGCUUCCUCGGAAGAAAGGGAUAGCCGCUUAAAAGUCCAGCGCCAAAAUGAACAUAAGGUUUACAGCCUGCAUAGCGAUAGUUUUAGCAGUGGUGGUCCUAGUUUCCACGCGACCCCUGAACAAGCGGCAGUGGAUUAAAAGACAGAGUGCAAAGGCCAGAGGGCAUGGAAGGAGAUUUAAUACCGCUGGCAGUAUACCAAAGCUUCCCCCAAAACACACACGGCAUAUCAUUAAAGAACACGGAAAAGUUCCGUUCGUGAAAGUCGACGGGGAGGUGAAAUCUUCCUAUGGCAAAUUGAUCCUGACUGUAAAGCCAUAUGCUGC